rnacentral:tRNA from 1 species
GGCUCCAUGGUCAAGCGGUUUAAGACGUCGCCCUCUCAAGGCGGAAUCACGGGUUCGAUUCCCGUUGGGGCUACCA